GAUGAACGCUGGCGGCGUGCCUAAUACAUGCAAGUCAAGCGAACGGACGAGAAGCUUGCUUUUCUGAUGUUAGCGGCGGACGGGUGAGUAACACGUGGAUAGCCUACCUAUAAGACUGGGAUAACUUCGGGAAACCGGAGCUAAUACCGGAUAAUAUUUUGAACCGCAUGGUUCAAAAGUGAAAGACGGUCUUGCUGUCACUUAUAGAUGGAUCCGCGCUGCAUUAGCUAGUUGGUAAGGUAACGGCUUACCAAGGCAACGAUGCAUAGCCGACCUGAGAGGGUGAUCGGCCACACUGGAACUGAGACACGGUCCAGACUCCUACGGGAGGCAGCAGUAGGGAAUCUUCCGCAAUGGGCGAAAGCCUGACGGAGCAACGCCGCGUGAGUGAUGAAGGUCUUCGGAUCGUAAAACUCUGUUAUUAGGGAAGAACAUAUGUGUAAGUAACUGUGCACAUCUUGACGGUACCUAAUCAGAAAGCCACGGCUAACUACGUG
rnacentral:rRNA from 1 species